rnacentral:rRNA from 1 species
AUACGGAGGAUCCAAGCGUUAUCCGGAUUUAUUGGGUUUAAAGGGUGCGCAGGCGGCCUUAUAAGUCAGUGGUGAAAUCUCCCGGCUCAACCGGGAAACUGCCAUUGAUACUGUAAGGCUAGAAUACAGACGAGGUAGGCGGAAUGUAGCAUGUAGCGGUGAGAUGCUUAGAUAUGCUACAGAACACCAAUCGCGAAGGCAGCUUACCAGACUGUAAUUGACGCUAAGGCACGAAAGCGUGGGGAGCGAACAGGAUUAGAAACCCCAGUAGUCC